rnacentral:rRNA from 1 species
GACGAACGCUUGCGGCGUGCCUAAGAAAUGCAAGUCGAGCGGGAGCAGCAAUGCUCUAGCGGCGAACGGUCGCGUAACACGUAAGCAACCUGCCCGAAAGACCGGGACAACACUCCGAAAGGGGUGCUAAUACCGGAUGUGCCCACUUCCUUGCAUGGGGAGGUGAGUAAAACGCGCAUUAACUUCGCCCUAACCAAGCUGCUUUGCUGAACCUUUCUAAAGGAGGUUUGGUGGAGGUCGUUGGUUAGAGUGAAGGAGAUGUGGCGGCUUUUGGAGGGGCUUGCGGCCUAUCAGAUAGUUGGUGGGGUAACGGCCUACCAAGUCAUCGACGGGUAGCUGGUCUGAGAGGAUGGUCAGCCGGACUGGGACUGAGAUACGGCCCAGACUCCGUACGGGGGCAGCAAUUAGGAAUCUUGUACAAGUGGGGGCAACCCUGAUACAGCGACGCCGCGUGAGGGA